rnacentral:rRNA from 1 species
AGAGUUUGAUCAUGGCUCAGAUUGAACGCUGGCGGCAGGCCUAACACAUGCAAGUCGAACGGUAACAGGAAGAAGCUUGCUUCUUUGCUGACGAGUGGCGGACGGGUGAGUAAUGUCUGGGAAACUGCCUGAUGGAGGGGGAUAACUACUGGAAACGGUAGCUAAUACCGCAUAACGUCGCAAGACCAAAGAGGGGGACCUUCGGGCCUCUUGCCAUCGGAUGUGCCCAGAUGGGAUUAGCUAGUAGGUGGGGUAACGGCUCACCUAGGCGACGAUCCCUAGCUGGUCUGAGAGGAUGACCAGCCACACUGGAACUGAGACACGGUCCAGACUCCUACGGGAGGCAGCAGUGGGGAAUAUUGCACAAUGGGCGCAAGCCUGAUGCAGCCAUGCCGCGUGUAUGAAGAAGGCCUUCGGGUUGUAAAGUACUUUCAGCGGGGAGGAAGGGAGUAAAGUUAAUACCUUUGCUCAUUGACGUUACCCGCAGAAGAAGCACCGGCUAACUCCGUGCCAGCAGCCGCGGUAAUACGGAGGGUGCAAGCGUUAAUCGGAAUUACUGGGCGUAAAGCGCACGCAGGCGGUUUGUUAAGUCAGAUGUGAAAUCCCCGGGCUCAACCUGGGAACUGCAUCUGAUACUGGCAAGCUUGAGUCUCGUAGAGGGGGGUAGAAUUCCAGGUGUAGCGGUGAAAUGCGUAGAGAUCUGGAGGAAUACCGGUGGCGAAGGCGGCCCCCUGGACGAAGACUGACGCUCAGGUGCGAAAGCGUGGGGAGCAAACAGGAUUAGAUACCCUGGUAGUCCACGCCGUAAACGAUGUCGACUUGGAGGUUGUGCCCUUGAGGCGUGGCUUCCGGAGCUAACGCGUUAAGUCGACCGCCUGGGGAGUACGGCCGCAAGGUUAAAACUCAAAUGAAUUGACGGGGGCCCGCACAAGCGGUGGAGCAUGUGGUUUAAUUCGAUGCAACGCGAAGAACCUUACCUGGUCUUGACAUCCACGGAAGUUUUCAGAGAUGAGAAUGUGCCUUCGGGAACCGUGAGACAGGUGCUGCAUGGCUGUCGUCAGCUCGUGUUGUGAAAUGUUGGGUUAAGUCCCGCAACGAGCGCAACCCUUAUCCUUUGUUGCCAGCGGUCCGGCCGGGAACUCAAAGGAGACUGCCAGUGAUAAACUGGAGGAAGGUGGGGAUGACGUCAAGUCAUCAUGCCCCUUACGACCAGGGCUACACACGUGCUACAAUGGCGCAUACAAAGAGAAGCGACCUCGCGAGAGCAAGCGGACCUCAUAAAGUGCGUCGUAGUCCGGAUUGGAGUCUGCAACUCGACUCCAUGAAGUCGGAAUCGCUAGUAAUCGUGGAUCAGAAUGCCACGGUGAAUACGUUCCCGGGCCUUGUACACACCGCCCGUCACACCAUGGGAGUGGGUUGCAAAAGAAGUAGGUAGCUUAACCUUCGGGAGGGCGCUUACCACUUUGUGAUUCAUGACUGGGGUGAAGUCUCG